UACGUAGGUGGCAAGCGUUGUCCGGAUUUACUGGGCGUAAAGAGCGCGCAGGCGGUCGAUCAAGUCGCGUGUGAAAGCCCCCGGCUCAACUGGGGAGGGUCACGCGAUACUGAUCGACUCGAAGGCAGGAGAGGGUAGUGGAAUUCCCGGUGUAGUGGUGAAAUGCGUAGAUAUCGGGGAGGAACACCAGUGGCGAAGGCGACUACCUGGCCUGUUUCUGACGCUGAGGCGCGAAAGCUAGGGGAGCAAACGGG
rnacentral:rRNA from 1 species